rnacentral:snRNA from 1 species
GUGCUCGCUUUGGUAGCACAUGCACUAAAAUCAGAAUGGCGCAGAGUGGUUUAGUGCUGCCCCUGCGCAAGGAUAUCAUGCGAAAAGAUUCUACUUUCUCUU